ACGAACGCUGGCGGCAGCCACAAUACAAGUGAACGCCCCGCAACGGGAGUUGAACGGGUGAGUAACGCGUGGGAAUCUACCCAACUCUACGGAAUAACUCAGGGAAACUUGUGCUAAUACAGUAUACGCCCUUCGGGGGGAAAGAUUUAUCGGAGUUGGAUGAGCCCGCGUUGGAUUAGCUAGUUGGUGGGGUAAAGGCCUACCAAGGCGACGAUCCAUAGCUGGUCUGAGAGGAUGAUCAGCCACAUUGGGACUGAGACACGGCCCAAACUCCUACGGGAGGCAGCAGUGGGGAAUAUUGGACAAUGGGCGCAAGCCUGAUCCAGCCAUGCCGCGUGAGUGAUGAAGGCCCUAGGGUUGUAAAGCUCUUUCACCGGUGAAGAUAAUGACGGUAACCGGAGAAGAAGCCCCGGGUAACUUCGUGCCAGCAGCCGCGGUAAUACGAAGGGGGCUAGCGUUGUUCGGAAUUACUGGGCGUAAAGCGCACGUAGGCGGGUAUAUAAGUCAGGGGUGAAAUCCCAGAGCUCAACUCUGGAACUGGCUUUGAUACUGGGUACCUAGAGUAUGGCAGAGGUAAGUGGAAUUCCGAGUGUACAGGUGAAAUCCGGUACAAUAUCAGGAGGGAACCCCAAUGGCAAAAGGACGGUUUAAGGGUCCAU
rnacentral:rRNA from 1 species